rnacentral:rRNA from 1 species
AGAGUUUGAUCAUGGCUCAGGAUGAACGCUAGCGGCAGGCUUAACACAUGCAAGUCGAGGGGUAUAGGUUUUCGGACCUAGAGACCGGCGCACGGGUGCGUAACGCGUAUGCAAUCUACCUUUUACAGAGGGAUAGCCCAGAGAAAUUUGGAUUAAUACCUCAUAGUAUUAUUGAAUGGCAUCAUUUAAUAAUUAAAGUCACAACGGUAAAAGAUGAGCAUGCGUCCCAUUAGCUUGUUGGUAAGGUAACGGCUUACCAAGGCAACGAUGGGUAGGGGUCCUGAGAGGGAGAUCCCCCACACUGGUACUGAGACACGGACCAGACUCCUACGGGAGGCAGCAGUGAGGAAUAUUGGUCAAUGGGCGCAAGCCUGAACCAGCCAUGCCGCGUGCAGGAUGACGGUCCUAUGGAUUGUAAACUGCUUUUGUACAGGAAGAAACAGUUCUACGUGUAGAACCUUGACGGUACUGUAAGAAUAAGGAUCGGCUAACUCCGUGCCAGCAGCCGCGGUAAUACGGAGGAUCCAAGCGUUAUCCGGAAUCAUUGGGUUUAAAGGGUCCGUAGGCGGUUUUGUAAGUCAGUGGUGAAAGCCCGUCGCUCAACGGCGGAACGGCCAUUGAUACUGCAAGACUUGAAUUAUUAGGAAGUAACUAGAAUAUGUAGUGUAGCGGUGAAAUGCUUAGAUAUUACAUGGAAUACCAAUUGCGAAGGCAGGUUGCUACUAAUGGAUUGACGCUGAUGGACGAAAGCGUGGGGAGCGAACAGGAUUAGAUACCCUAGUAGUCC